rnacentral:tRNA from 1 species
GCUCCCAUCGUCUAGCGGCCUAGGACGCCGGCCUUUCACGCCGGUAACACGGGUUCAAAUCCCGUUGGGAGUACCA